rnacentral:rRNA from 1 species
GACGAACGCUGGCGGCGUGCUUAACACAUGCAAGUCGAACGAUGACGACCGAGCUUGCUCGGUCUGAUUAGUGGCGAACGGGUGAGUAACACGUGAGCAGCCUGCCCUUCACUCUGGGAUAACCUCGGGAAAUCGGGGCUAAUACCGGAUAUGAGCUCCUGUCGCAUGGCGGGUGUUGGAAAGUUUUUCGGUGAAGGAUGGGCUCGCGGCCUAUCAGUUUGUUGGUGAGGUAGUGGCUCACCAAGGCGAUGACGGGUAGCCGGCCUGAGAGGGCGACCGGCCACACUGGGACUGAGACACGGCCCAGACUCCUACGGGAGGCAGCAGUGGGGAAUAUUGCACAAUGGGCGAAAGCCUGAUGCAGCGACGCCGCGUGAGGGAUGACGGCCUUCGGGUUGUAAACCUCUUUCAGCAGGGAAGAAGCGAAAGUGACGGUACCUGCAGAAGAAGCGCCGGCUAACUACGUG